UCUUCCACUACUCCUCACCGUUUCAAAUCCGCCACCACACUUACCUCUACUGCUGCCGCCGUCUUAGGAAUCUCCUCCUCCGAUGUGUAUCGAGAUCCGAUGUAUUCAUGAUAGGAAUCAGUCUCCAAGUAAAGCUCUCGCAUCAUCUCUUUGUUAUCUCUUCUUUCCGGCGAUUCUCACUCAGAAGACGACCACGUAACCUUGAUCUCAUCUCAUGCGGAUUCUGAUAGUCUUGCGGUAUCUUUCUUUCUUCAGGCGUUUCGAAUUUUUGACCCACUGCUUCGUCUUGUCGUCCUCUCGCGCAUGUACAAUAUUCGGAGGUCUCUCCCUAAUUCUUUUGUUUCAAAAAAGCGAGGAUAUAUUGUACAACAUUCCAGAAGCAUUGAUUGCCAAAGAUUUGCGGAAAUUAUUUUCAUCAGAUACGCGGAUCAAACGGAUCCUAAAGUUCAUGCCUUACCAAGAUCCGCGUCUUUUACCGCAUGAAUAUGGAUUUAGAUCCGACCCAAUAACCCAGGAUCCGCGUGUCUACAUGCCAGCAAAUUUACCAUUUUACCCUUAGACGAAUUUUUAAGUAUACUCUUAGAUUGGAUUAAUUGUAAUGGCAAUCUUUUGUAAUUUUUUACCCUUUAUAAGGUUUAUCAUUAGG